GAGAGAACAGUGCAGCCAGUCCACUUUUACUGUUUCCAUGUGGCUCCCUGAAAUUCCACUCUGCUUUCCCUUCCCUUGCAUGCUUUCCUCCGGAGUUCUUUCCUCUCCGCAGCGCGUGGCUUCCUUCCAAUGGCAGCCUCCCGAUUCGUUCGCGGGCGACCGGCGGCGUGGUGAGCAGCAGCGACGGUGCCGGCGAGUACGCGCCCAGCCAGAGCGAGCGGCAAGGGAUCUGCUGCACUCCACCCAUAAUAAUUUUUCUAACAACCCGUUUCCCUCAGCUCCAGAUCUGCGUCCAUCGUCGUCUUUAGUGGAGAACAGAGCUUCCGCCAUCUUACUCCAACUCUGGCCACUGCUCAAGUUCAGAAGGCAACAUGUAAGCAGAAGCAAGUAUGACUAACUAGCUAGUAAGCCAGACAAGGUAACUCACUAAUUAAAGAGAUGGUAGGAGUCAUGAUGAGCACUUCAACUGGCGCCAUGAACUCCCUCCUGGGCAAGCUGACCACCCUCAUGGGGGAGGAGUUCGCCAAGCUCAAGAAUCUACGCAAGGAAGUGAAGUUCAUCAAGGAUGAGCUUGGCAGCAUGAAGGAUACUCUUGAGGUGCUUGCAGAUGUGGACAAGCUAGACCCCCAGACCAAGAGCUGGAGGGACACACUAAGGGAGAUGUCUUACGACAUUGAAGACAUCAUUGACGACUUUAUGCAUCACAUUGGGAAGAAAAGUGAAUCUGAAAACCAAGGGUUCGCCAAGAAGACUGUUCGGCUCCUAAAAAAGUUGAGAGUCCGCCAUCAGAUUGCCAGUCGGAUCAAGGAGAUCAAGGAACUUGUGCUUGAGAUAAGUGCGCGGCGCCAACGGUACAAGCUUGAUAUUUCCCCAUCAAAAUAUGUGGAAAUUGACCCACGAGUUGCCAUACUCUAUGAAAAUGCAGCCAAUCUUGUUGGUGUGGAAGGGCCAGCGGAGGAGCUUGAGAACCUGCUAAAAGAUGAGAACGAGAAAUUCAAGGUGGUGUCGAUUGUGGGAUUUGGAGGUCUAGGCAAAACAACACUUGCCAAUGUGGUAUAUGGUAAGCUCAAGAACAGUUUUUCGCACUGUGCUUUUGUGCCAGUCUCUCAAAAGCCAGACAUCACGAAACUUCUCCAUGGUUUAAUGUCCCAACUUGGAUGUACACCAUCUUCUCAUCAUUGCGGCUUAAAUGUCAUGUUGGACCAACUUAGGGAACAUCUACACAACAAGAGGUACUUGAUUAUAAUUGAUGAUCUAUGGGGUGUAUCAGACUGGGAUAUUAUCAAACGUGCAUUCCCAGAAAAUGAUCUUGGCAGCAGAGCAAUAGUGACUACAAGAGUUCAGGAAGUGGCUGCAGCAUGUUGCUCCAAUCAUCAUGAUUAUAUUUUACAAAUGAAGCCUCUAAAUGACAAACACUCGAGAAGGUUGUUUUUUGGCAGGAUAUUUGGCAGGGAAGAUGCUUGCCCUAACACACUCAGAGAUGUUUCGGUUGAAAUUCUCCAAAAAUGUGGUGGCUUGCCUCUUGCAAUUAUUAGCAUAGCAGGCCUGCUAGCAAGUGAAGGUCCCAACCAAGAGGAGUUGGAACAUGUUCGGAAUUCUUUGGGCUCGAUGUCUGGAACAAAACUCACACUUCAAGGGAUGAGACAAAUCUUAAACCUCAGUUACAAAGACCUUCCAUGUCAUCUGAAGACAUGCUUGUUAUAUCUUGGUAUGUAUCCGGAGGACUACACAAUAAAGAGGUCUGAUCUGGAACGCCAAUGGAUGGCGGAAGGUUUUGUUAGUAAAGAAAAUGGACAAGACAUGGAGAAAAAUGCGAGAAACUAUUUCAAUGAGCUUGUCAAUAGGAGCCUUGUUCAACCUGUAGAAUUUGACAGCAGUGGGUCGGUGACAGAAUGCAAAGUACACGAUAUGAUGCUCGAUCUUAUCCUGGUUAAGUGUGCGGAAGAGAAUUUUCUCACUGUAGUGGAUGGUUCACAGGCCAAUACAGCACCGGAAUACAAGGUUCGUCGUCUGUCUGUUCGCUUGAAUGAUGCAAGUAAUGGAACAUUAUUAUUGGGGAAGAUUAGUUUGUCACAGGUCCGGUCCGUUAUGAUCUUUGGAAGAUCUGAGAAUCAGAAUAUACUUCCUCUGUCGAAAUUCAAGUUCCUCCGAGUUCUUUUUAUCAAGGAUUACCCUACAUCAAUCGACCUCACUGGGAUGAACGAACUGUAUCAGCUAAGAUAUGUACAGAUUGAUGGCAGUGGUGACGAUGUGCACCUACCAACACAGAUUAGAGGACUCCAACAAUUAGAAACAUUUGAUAUAUGGUACUGUGCCAGUGUUCCAUCGGAUAUAGUUUAUCUGCCACACUUGUUGCAUCUGAGUAUUGGACGUCUUAGAGGGCUGCCUGAUGGGAUUGGCAAAAUGAAAUCCCUGAGAUCUCUUUGUGGAUUUAAUUUAUCAGUAAACUCACUAGAUAACAUCAAGGGCCUUGGAGAGAUGACCAAUAUGAGAGAUCUAGCUCUCACCGGCCACAUUGCUUACCAUGAUCAGGACGGCAUCAUGGAUGUUCUAAACUCUUCUUUGAAAAAACUUGGUAGCCUUGAGUUCCUGCGCAUAUAUAUCCAUGGAUGCACGGAUGGCUUGUCUCCUCCGUGCAGCCUUCAAAGACUCGCCACAAUGCAGUUUCCAUGGGGGGAUUCUUAUUUUUCCAGGGUCCCUAACUGGCCGAGGGAAUUUCAUAACCUGCGUGUGUUGCAGUUCAUUGUUGAUGAGCUGCUCACGGAGGAUGUUGGUAUUGUUGCGGAUUUGCCCUCCCUCACCGACCUUGAUUUACAUGUCCGAAGACCCCCAAAAGAAAUGAUUGUCAUCUAUGGAAGAGGAACAUUCCCUGCUCUAAAGCAGUUUACACUCAGCUUGAGUAACGCAUCAUACCUGACCUUCCAGGCUGGGGCGAUGCCCAUGCUCCAGAGGUUCAAGAUAACUUUCAGCGUCAAAGGUUGGAAGAAGAACGGGGCUGGACCAGCCGGCAUCGAGCAUUUGCCUGCACUUGAAGAGGUGUCUGCAUAUAUCGAGCACAACCAGGCUACAGAAUCUGAAUGGAGCAGCUCUGAAUAUGCAUUUAGGAGUGCCGUCGAAAUGCAUCCUGGCAAUCCCCGCAUUGAAGUCGAACAUUCUAAUUGGGUUCGUUUUUUUGACAAAUAAUUUCUGCUUUGACUCCGCAUCACGCGGCUAUCUUUGAUAGAACCUCGACGGAGUUUUGACCAGUCUGGAUAGUAUUGGUUUUCAGGCUAUGAAGUGCAUCAACGCCAAUAUCUGUUAAAUUGUAUAGCUUUGUGAGGACUGAACAACGGAAUGCUGCAUGCAGAUGUCUAUGAAGAUACAUGUCAUAACAGAUGGAGAUGGGCUGCUGUUUCUCCCAGCUGGAAGAUCGAGCUUCACGGUCUUCGCUCCUUGUGCCACCUAAUUCCAUUUACCCUUUGUGAACAUUCAUUUCAUUAUCUCAGAGUUCCGUUUCGUUACCUCUCUGAGAUGAUGACCACGCUUUGAUUCUGCUUGUAAUAAAUAAGGCUUGGUGCUGGGCAGAAGUUUGCACUCAUAGAUGGUGCUUUGCUCCUUCAUCCCAGCGUUUCCAGCUUCGGAUUAUCUUGUUCAUUUAUGUUGGUGUGCUUACUUUGUAUUGAACUGAACGUUCUUAUUUCAAGAUUCGAGAUAAAACUUGUUAGAAGACAAUUUACUUGAGAUGUAUUGUAAUUUGCUUAGUUUCAAUGUGAAUUCGCUAAGAAAUGUUGUUUCACUCA